UCGAUGUGGAACGAUGUGCUAGUUUAUUGAUCGGAGCGUGCCACGAAUUAAAUCGACUUUACGAAGCGCAGGUGCUGCUGCGCUAAUUUGCUGGCUCGUUUCGAAGGGAAGGCUGCAUCUCCUGACGACCCCAGACUCUCGCCUCUGUAUGCGUCGCGAGGAACGUUUGAUCAUUUUUUACGCACCGAUAAUUGCAUGAAAUUACGGAGUGAUCUAGUUGUGAUAGGAUCGUUCCGAUUCUUCGAUUGAACGCAAGGUGAAAAGUAGAGUGACCGCUCACUCGACGCCCGGACGCGUCCGUAGGCAGGUCGGUAAUAACGAUAAUUACGGGCGGUUGCGAAAUUCUGUUUAAUCGCGGCAGUCGACAUUGAUUUGUAGCUUUAUACAUUUUGCAAUCGUUGCAAUCGUUGCGUCGCGCGUGCUCGAAACGCGACCACCGUCCGUUUUAUUCCCUAUGCCGGUCACGGACAGAAGCAGGUUGAAAAUCUUUCAUAGUCGAGAUACCGGUCACGCGACCGGUCUACUAAUGAAUCAGGAGGUAGGUCGUUCGACACGAUGUAAUAACGACGAGUAUCGACCAUGUUUCAUACCGUAUUUCAUACUAUGUACAUACAUAUAAUGGUCGAUACGAUAAUUGAUGUACCGACGACGUGUCGUACGUACAGCGAUUGAUACACUGUUCGAUUCGCGUAACAACGUUUAUUGUAUAAACAAUGGUCGCGACGCAGACACGAGACUGCAUUGGUUCUUCGGAAUUUCUUCCUCGAAUCCGUGUAUCGUCGCGUACGUUUUACACGGAUCGCAUCGUUAAGGUUGAAGUGAGAUGGUACGAGGAAGCAGAGACGAAGACGAAGGUGAAGACGAUGACGAACAGCAGCGGAGCAGAGUGGGAAAGAAAUGGUAGGGACGCGGGACGUGCUCUCUUCUGGUUCAGCCGGUCGGUCGUUCGUUCGUUUCCUCAUCACGUAUGCGCGUUACGUAGCCAGCCGGACCGAGAGAUGCGGUGUGAUAUAAUUUUCUAGCGGUUGUACCGCCUCUUACGUGCUGCAUACCCACGGUGACCAUAUUUUUUUCGAGGACGAUCAAAAAUUGUUUCACGACGACGAGAAAUUGCAGCCAGCAGCAGCAGCACCGAGGGCAGAAAACUGAAAGACCUUGUACAUGCACGACGUAGCGCAAUAGUUCCAAUUUCUGUACGCGCCACAAUUUCUGCUCACCCGACCUUAUUUCCUAUUAUAUUAUACGUCAUUCUAAAAACGAUCUACGAACGAGCCACAACUGAUGAACGAUCAGUAAUUUUUUCGCGCAUCUACUCGACGCAACAGUCGACCAUUGUCGCGCGUUUUACGCGCACCGCGAAUAAGAGGCCGUGUGCCCGAUCCAUAUUCCGCGUCGGCCGUGAAGUUUUUGCGAAUCGACGAGUAUAAAAAGUGUCACAACGCUCGCAGAUGAUGUUGCAUCCGAACCACGCGUAGCUGCGCAAUGCUUCCAACGAGUUUCGCCGAGAUCUUUCUGUCUUGUUUCGCCCACUUUCACACAGUUAUUCAUUCGUCGAAUGUGUCAGGCCGGUGCGUAUACGUUCGCGCAUUCCUCUCUCGUUAUGCGCGUCGCGUUGUAAAGAGUCGAAUUGAAGAUGAGACAAUGUGAGGAGUGUACGAUGAUUACUCUGACGAGAAACUGCUCGGAAAACUGGCGCGUUUCACGAGUCCACGUCGCGGAUAUAAUUUAUUUCGCAUGAUAGUAACCGAUCUUAUCGUUGGAUGAAAACUGACUCGUAGGUGAUCGUCGACAGGGUGGCGAGGCGAACAAAAGCGAAUUAUGCAAACGUCGGACAAAGAAUCAGAGGAAUGCACCCGGCGGCGGCUGCGGCCCAGAUACCUGUCGGUGAUCGGAGGAAAGAGAAAGAGAGCCGGACUCCCUCUUUUACAUAUCGGCGAGCUGUACGGCUCUCGCGAUAGAUUCGAUGUCGCGAUACCGCGGCGCCAACCGCUUCGUCCGCGUAUCGCACCCCUGCAUCCCCUUCUUCUCUGACCCGCGCCGAGAAGAACGCAGGCCGAAGGUCAGCCUCGCCGACCAUACUAUGUAUAAUA